rnacentral:rRNA from 1 species
UGCAAGUCGAACGAAGCACUUUAUUUGAUUUCUUCGGAAUGAAGAUUUUGUGACUGAGUGGCGGACGGGUGAGUAACGCGUGGGUAACCUGCCUCAUACAGGGGGAUAACAGUUGGAAACGACUGCUAAUACCGCAUAAGCGCACAGGGUCGCAUGACCUGGUGCGAAAAACUCCGGUGGUAUGAGAUGGACCCGCGUCUGAUUAGCCAGUUGGUGGGGUAACGGCCUACCAAAGCAACGAUCAGUAGCCGACCUGAGAGGGUGACCGGCCACAUUGGGACUGAGACACGGCCCAAACUCCUACGGGAGGCAGCAGUGGGGAAUAUUGCACAAUGGGGGAAACCCUGAUGCAGCGACGCCGCGUGAGCGAAGAAGUAUUUCGGUAUGUAAAGCUCUAUCAGCAGGGAAGAAGAAAUGACGGUACCUGACUAAGAAGCACCGGCUAAAUACGUGCCAGCAGCCGCGGUAAUACGUAUGGUGCAAGCGUUAUCCGGAUUUACUGGGUGUAAAGGGAGCGCAGGCGGUACGGCAAGUCUGAUGUGAAAGCCCGGGGCUCAACCCCGGUACUGCAUUGGAAACUGUCGGACUAGAGUGUCGGAGGGGUAAGUGGAAUUCCUAGUGUAGCGG